ensembl:misc_RNA Metazoa_SRP Metazoan signal recognition particle RNA
GCCGGGCAUGGUGGCUCAUGCCUGUAAUCCUAGCACUUUGGGAGGCCGAGGCGGGUGGAUCACCUGAGGUCAGGGGUUCGAGACCAGCCUGGCCAACAUGGAGAAACCCCGUCUCUA